UACGGAGGGUGCGAGCGUUUGUUCGGAAUCACUGGGCGUAAAGCGCGUGUAGGCGGCCUUCUCAGUCUGGUGUGAAAGGCCCGGGCUCACCCCCGGGAAGUGCAUUGGAUACUGGAAGGCUGGAGUACCGGAGAGGAGGGUGGAAUUCCUGGUGUAGCGGUGAAAUGCGUAGAUAUCAGGAGGAACACCGGUGGCGAAGGCGGCCCUCUGGACGGAUACUGACGCUGAGACGCGAACAGCGGUGGGGAGCAAACAGG
rnacentral:rRNA from 1 species